AGCGAACGCUGGCGGCAGGCCUAACACAUGCAAGUCGAACGAAGUCUUCGGACUUAGUGGCGGACGGGUGAGUAACACGUGGGAACGUACCUUUUGGUUCGGAACAACUCAGGGAAACUUAAGCUAAUACCGGAUGAGCCCUUAGGGGGAAAGAUUUAUCGCCGAAAGAGCGGCCCGCGUUAGGUUAGCUAGUUGGUGAGGUAAAGGCUCAUCAAGGCUACGAUCUAUAGCUGGUCUGAGAGGAUGAUGAGCCACACUGGGACUGAGUCACGGCCCAGACUCCUACGGGAGGCAGCAGUGGGGAAUCUUGCGCAAUGGGCGAAAGCCUGACGCAGCCAUGCCGCGUGAAUGAUGAAGGUCUUAGGAUUGUAAAAUUCUUUUACCAGGGACGAUAAUGACGGUACCUGGAGAAAAAGCCCCGGCUAACUUCGUGCCAGCAGCCGCGGUAACAC
rnacentral:rRNA from 1 species